rnacentral:lncRNA from 1 species
UAAUGACGUUUUUAUGAGUUUAGCAUGUACACAUAUUUCACAUUUUUUCUACUUAUUUUUUAUUUUAUUUUGGGAUUAGAUUUAGAUUCAUUAAUUUUUUUUUUAUUGAUUUGUAGUUAACAUGGCAUAAUCGUUCAUGCUAUAUAUUAAAAGACUCAACCAAAUAUGUAACUAGUUUCUUCUUAUUUCUUGAAACUUAUGGAGUUAUAACUUUCGGAUGGACUGUCAUUAUAUUCAUCUUGACGAGUCAAUCUUUAACAUACUCCUUACCCAAAUAAACUCCAUUCUUUCGAAUCAUGAGUUUGUCAGCUACAAGAGUCAUGGAAAAUCCAUUCUUACUGAAAAAGGUUCUCAAAACAAGGUUCUUCCUCAUGUUAGGCAUGUGCUUCACGUUCUCCACAGUGACUUCAAGUCUAUA